rnacentral:rRNA from 1 species
UACGUAGGGUGCAGGCGUUAAUCGGAAUUACUGGGCGUAAAGCGUGCGCAGGCGGUCUUUUUAAGUCAGAUGUGAAAUCCCCGGGCUUAACCUGGGAACUGCGUUUUGAAAACUGGAAGGCUAGAGUGUGGCAGAGGGGGGGUGGAAUUCCACGUGUAGCAGUGAAAUGCGUAGAUAUGUGGAGGAACACCGAUGGCGAAGGCAGCCCCCUGGGCUAACACUGACGCUCAUGCACGAAAGCGUGGGGAGCAAACAGG